CCCAACCAAAAACUGAGCAUGAACCUCUGAUUGCAGAUAGUUAAAAAAAAGUCAGCCAUAUGCUAUAAUGCCUUGGCCACCCUUCUCUCCUGUAGUUCAUCUGGGUUGUCCUGCUGUCUCCCACACUAGUUUGUGUGACUGCUCUAUCAUCAGAAAAUUCUCUGCAACCCUUUUCUAGGGAGAAGGUGGAUUCUUUACCACUGAGCCACCUAUUUAUAGCAAGAUACUAAUCCAAAAUAGAGGGCCACUGUACCUAUGAAUGGAUCCCUUAGAAGAAGAAUCUCAGGAGGAUCGACUUGAAUGAAAUGUUACAGAUGGGAGAUCUGGAAUCCUGAGGGAGACUCCUGAAGGGCUGGAUUAUGCAACCAAGAAGUGAAUGGGGAGUGUACCAUCCUUGGAAGUAAGCAGUUACUUAAAUCACUUCCUGCAGGAAUUAAUUCUCUUGAAGAAUCCUGGUUGUGAAGGGCUGAUCUUCACAUUCUCAGGACCCUGGGCUGUAUUGUUGAUCAUCUGUUCUUCAUAAAUAUAAGGAGAAGUUCUUACCAGAUAAUAAUAAAUAAACCUGUAGAAAUGUCCAAAUGGUGGCAGGCUACAGCCAUCCUCAAUGUCCCACAACAGCCUGUUAGGAUAAGCAAAAUCAAAUAGCCAAGGCUUUGAGUCUGAGGAGGGAACAGGGAUGAGAGGGCUAUGAGGAGACCCUCCUGCAGGGGACAGGUGAGGCUGAUGUAGGACAGCCCUGCUGGUGGCAGAGACAGUCUCCCAGAGAGAUCCUGUGGGGACCAAAAGAUUAUAACUCUACUAUUCCUGCCUUUGUGACAUCGGACAAGUGGUCUAACUUCUCUGAGCCUCAACUUUUUCAUCUGUAAAACAGAGAUGAGAAUGUCUACCUCCUGGGGUUACUUCCAUAAAUGAGAUAUUGUGCAAUAUGCUUGAGUUGGCCCAUGAGUGUUUGGAGUUAGUUAUUGCUCUGUUGGGAUACCCAGGAGAGCCACUGAGGGGCACAUGGCUCCUUGGGGACUGGAGAGGCCUGGUCCCAGUUCCCUGGUAUCUGAAGGCGAUAGAACUUGAGAAUGUCACUUGUCUCCAAGUGCCCUGCAUUGUACUGAUGCUCCUGCCCACCCUUCAUAGUAAGCACCUCGGAGUGAGCCAUGUGUCACUCACACUUGGCUAACCUGCUUACUUACUUUACAAUCCAAGUGUGUGCAAAGUCAUACAAAGUCUGUUGACUUCUAACUCCUAAUUUUGACAGUAAUACUCACAUACAGUUGGCUCUCUGUAUCUACAGGAUUUGCAUCAUGGAUUCAAUCAACCAUGGAUCAAAAAUAUUUUUAAAAUAAUUCCAAAAAGUUCCAAAAAGCAAAACUUGAAUCUGCUGCAUACUGGCAACUGUUGAUAUAGCAUUUACAUUGUAUUAAGUAUGAUAGGUAAACUAGAGAUAAUUUAAAGUAUAUAGAAGAAUGUAUGUAGGUUUUAUGGAAAUACUGCACCAUUUUAUAUAAGGAAUGGAGCAUCUACAAAUUUUUCUAUCUGUGGAGAUUUUAGAACCACUUCCCCACAGAUAAAGAAGGAUGACUAUACUUUCUCUGAAAUAUUCUCCUUGAUAUUUUAGACCUUCUUGCUAUGGAAUCAAUGAUAAAUAAUGGUAAAAUAAAUAGUAAUGGGAUUGAUAUUUUGAGGCCCAGAAAAUUUAAAUACUACCUUUCAAAUUCUCUGAGGCUGGCUUGACUAUGUUUUCUUUUUUAUUUUGGGCUUCUGGAGGCAUUCCCAUCAUAUCCCUAUAGUAAUUAUUCUUUUUUACUUUAACAUGUCUGCGAUGAAGUUCUGUUGCUUAAAACUAAGGAACCUAAAACAAUGAGUAGCUAGACAUAAUACCUCUGGACCGCAGUUUUCUCAUCUGCAAAAUGAGCAGUGUAAGCUAAUCUAUAAGAUGCCUUUGAUUUCUGUAAUUUUAAGUGUGUGUGUGUGUGUGUGUGUGUGUGUGAAUGUAGGAAGUGACAGCAGGGUCUGGGCCAUCAUGAGAUUCUAUCUGCUGCCAAAUAAAUGCUGAAUGAACCACAAAUGAUAAAUGGAAUUAGAAACUGUAAAUUUUGGACAUUAAACACUCAGAGGAGGUUGCCAACUUGAUAUAUGACAUGGUUACAUAAGCAUUAGAAAUACAGCUUUUAAUAACUUUCAUCAAGUCACUUUUGAACUUUGGGUGUUGGUGAGGCUAAGUGUGAAUGUAGCAAAGAAGGGUUUCUAGAGUGUCAUUUCAGGAAAAUAAGGAAAAACAAUAGAAAAUUGGUAGGUAUGAUGUUCCAAAAUGAGGCAGUUUCAGUACCAUCUGAUUGUCCUUGACCCCUGAUCUGGGACAGCUCUUUUCAAAUAAUUUCUGAGAAAUGAGUGGUGCCCUGUCUUGGAAGUGGGAGGGAUGGGUGCACUGCAGCUGUCCCUUCAGAAGAGAACAAGCAGGUGCAAUAUGGCAUUCUGGCCUCUUGAUGAUGAUUUAUGAGCUUUGGGCUUCAAUUACCAUGUGCUUGAUGGAGAUUUAAUUUGUUAUUGUUUUAGGAAUGUAGUUCCAAAUAUUUGAAAAAUAAAACUCAGCUCUAC